GGGGAAGCCGGUGCAAUUCCGGCACUGACCCGCAACCGUGAGCCGCCCGCCUCUGGUGGACGGUGAGCCGGACUGCCC
rnacentral:ncRNA from 2 species